rnacentral:rRNA from 1 species
UACAGAGGGGGCAAGCGUUAUUCGGAAUUAUUGGGCGUAAAGGGCGCGUAGGCGGCACCGCAAGUCGACUGUGAAAUCUCCGGGCUUAACUCGGAAAGGUCAGCCGAUACUGCGGGGCUAGAGUGCAGAAGGGGCAACUGGAAUUCUCGGUGUAGCGGUGAAAUGCGUAGAUAUCGAGAGGAACACCUGCGGCGAAGGCGGGUUGCUGGGCUGACACUGACGCUGAUGCGCGAAAGCUAGGGGAGCGAACGGG